AGAGUUUGAUCCUGGCUCAGGACGAACGCUGGCGGCAUGCCUAACACAUGCAAGUCGAACGGAAACGAAACUAGCUUGCUAGUAGGCGUCGAGUGGCGGACGGGUGAGUAACGCGUAGGAAUCUGCCUGAUAGUGGGGGAUAGCCCGAAGAAAUUCGGAUUAAUACCGCAUAAUCUAUUCGUAGUAAAGUGGGGGACUUUCGAGCCUCACGCUAUCAGAUGAGCCUGCGUAAGAUUAGCUUGUUGGUAGGGUAAAAGCCUACCAAGGCAACGAUCUUUAGCUGGUCUGAGAGGAUGAUCAGCCACAUCGGGACUGAGACACGGCCCGAACUCCUACGGGAGGCAGCAGUGGGGAAUAUUGGACAAUGGGGGCAACCCUGAUCCAGCAAUACCGCGUGUGUGAAGAAGGCCUGAGGGUUGUAAAGCACUUUCAAUUGUGAAGAAAAGUUAACGGUUAAUAACCGUUGACCUUGACGUUAACUUUAGAAGAAGCACCGGCUAACUCCGUGCCAGCAGCCGCGGUAAUACGGAGGGUGCAAGCGUUAAUCGGAAUUACUGGGCGUAAAGCGUGCGUAGGCGGUUUAUUAAGUCAGAUGUGAAAGCCCCGGGCUUAACCUGGGAACUGCAUUUGAAACUGGUCAACUAGAGUAUGGUAGAGGAAAGUGGAAUUUCUGGUGUAGCGGUGAAAUGCGUAGAUAUCAGAAGGAACAUCAAUGGCGAAGGCAGCUUUCUGGACCAAUACUGACGCUGAGGUACGAAAGCGUGGGUAGCAAACAGGAUUAGAUACCCUGGUAGUCCACGCCGUAAACGAUGAUAACUAGCCGUUGGGGGGAUUUACCCCUUAGUGGCGAAGCUAACGCGUUAAGUUAUCCGCCUGGGGAGUACGGCCGCAAGGCUAAAACUCAAAGGAAUUGACGGGGACCCGCACAAGCGGUGGAGCAUGUGGUUUAAUUCGAUGCAACGCGAAGAACCUUACCUGGUCUUGACAUCCUGCGAACUUUCUAGAAAUAGAUUGGUGCCUUCGGGAACGCAGUGACAGGUGCUGCAUGGCUGUCGUCAGCUCGUGUCGUGAGAUGUUGGGUUAAGUCCCGUAACGAGCGCAACCCCUAUCCUUAUUUGCCAGCACAUUAUGGUGGGAACUAUAAGGAGACUGCCGGUGAUAAACCGGAGGAAGGCGGGGACGACGUCAAGUCAUCAUGGCCCUUACGACCAGGGCUACACACGUGCUACAAUGGGAAGGACAAAGAGCCGCGAAGCCGCGAGGUGUAGCUAAUCUCAUAAAUCUUUUCGUAGUCCGGAUUGGAGUCUGCAACUCGACUCCAUGAAGUCGGAAUCGCUAGUAAUCGUAGAUCAGAAUGCUACGGUGAAUACGUUCCCGGGUCUUGUACACACCGCCCGUCAUACCAUGGGAGUGGGUUGCACCAGAAGUGGCUAGUCUAACUUUGUGAGGACGGUCACCACGGUGUGAUUCAUGACUGGGGUAAAGUCGUAACAAGGUAACC
rnacentral:rRNA from 1 species